rnacentral:rRNA from 1 species
GGCCCUUCGGGGUACUCGAGCGGCGAACGGGUGAGUAACACGUGAGUAACCUGCCCCAGGCUUUGGGAUAACCCCGGGAAACCGGGGCUAAUACCGGAUAUGACCAUCUGUCGCAUGGUGGGUGGUGGAAAGAUUUUUUGGCUUGGGAUGGGCUCGCGGCCUAUCAGCUUGUUGGUGGGGUGAUGGCCUACCAAGGCGGCGACGGGUAGCCGGCCUGAGAGGGCGACCGGCCACACUGGGACUGAGACACGGCCCAGACUCCUACGGGAGGCAGCAGUGGGGAAUCUUGCACAAUGGGCGGAAGCCUGAUGCAGCGACGCCGCGUGAGGGAUGACGGCCUUCGGGUUGUAAACCUCUUUCAGCAGGGACGAAGCGUUUGUGACGGUACCUGCAGAAGAAGCGCCGGCCAACUACGUGCCAGCAGCCGCGGUAAGACGUAGGGCGCAAGCGUUGUCCGGAUUUAUUGGGCGUAAAGAGCUCGUAGGCGGCUUGUCGCGUCGACUGUG